CUAAGCUGAAUGAUUUAGCAUUUUGCCUUUUGUCACACAUUUGACACACAUUGAAAACAACACAUUUAGGCAUUAAUAGUUUAGAGUAUCAAAAAUAACAGUUGUAGGGACAUUAUCAAAAUGUUCCAGCUGAGUGUGUAAUGAAGAUAAAACAUCACAUGUAAAUCAGAGGUGAUUUCCAGGCAUGUUUUCACUCUGCAGAUAUAAUAACAGUCAACAGACUCUUCUAUUGGCUCCAGUCACACCAACAUUGAUGUUUGAUUGUAUGCAAACUCAGUGAGCUUCCUUGUUCCUCAGCUAUAAAAACUUCACAUCAGGCUGUCAAUGGAGUUCACAGCACGUCAGUUUCAACAUAAACCAUGUUUUCUGUAGCUCUGCUGCUGCUGUUGGCAGCUGGAUGUGUGAAGUGUGAACAGUUGACACAGUCAGCCUCUGUGACUGUGCAGCCAGGUCAGCGUCUGACCAUCACCUGUCAGGUCUCUUAUUCUGUCAGUGACUACUACACAGCUUGGAUCAGACAGCCUGCAGGGAAAGAACUGGAGUGGAUUGGAAUGAAGUCUGCUUGGUAUUCAUUCUACAAAGAUUCACUGAAGAACAAGUUCAGUAUUGACGCUGACUCUUCCAGCAACACAGUGACUCUAAGUGGACAGAAUGUGCAGCCUGAAGACUCUGCUGUGUAUUUCUGUGCCAGACACCACUUUUUUGCAGUACUUGAAAUUGUGAUGAAAACUGCAUACUAUGAUAUCAUUUAUCACAUUUGA